rnacentral:rRNA from 1 species
CGGUGUUCAACUGGCGUGCCCGCGGGACGUCCUGCCGGUGAGCUCAGCCCGCGAGGGCGGCUCAACUUGAAAUCCCAUCGCGGUGCUCUUCAUUGAGUGUCGAGGUGGGCCGGCACGAUUACUUUUGAACAAAUUAGAGUGCUUAAAGCAGGCUAAAAUUUUGCCCGAAUACUGUGUAUAUGGAAUAAUGGAAUAGGACCUCGGUUCUAUUUUGUUGGUUUUCGGAACCCCGAGGUAAUGAUUAAUAGGAACGGAUGGGGGCAUUCGUAUUGCGACGUUAGAGGUGAAAUUCUUGGAUCGUCGCAAGACGGACUAAAGCGAAAGCAUUUGCCAAAAACGCUUUCAUUGAUCAAGAACGAAAGUUAGAGGUUCGAAGGCGAUCAGAUACCGCCCUAGUUCUAACCAUAAACUAUGCCAGCUAGCGAUCCGCCGACGUCCCUCUGAUGACUCGGCGGGCAGCUUCCGGGAAACCAAAGCUUUUGGGUUCCGGGGGAAGUAUGGUUGCAAAGCUGAAACUUAAAGGAAUUGACGGAAGGGCACCACCAGGAGUGGAGCCUGCGGCUUAAUUUGACUCAACACGGGAAACCUCACCAGGCCCAGACACUGGAAGGAUUGACAGAUUGAGAGCUCUUUCUUGAUUCAGUGGGUGGUGGUGCAUGGCCGUUCUUAGUCGGUGGAGCGAUUUGUCAGGUUAAUUCCGAUAACGGACGAGACUCUGACCUGAUAACUAGACGCACUUGCGGCAUCUCAAAGGUCCGCCGGCGGCUGGCUUUGCGCCCGUCGUCGCGCGCGAUUUUUACUGCCGGCGUACAAUAAAUUCUUCUUAGAGGGACAAGUGG